AUUGAACGCUGGCGGCAGGCUUAACACAUGCAAGUCGAGCGGGGUGAUGGUGCUUGCACUAUCACUUAGCGGCGGACGGGUGAGUAAUGCUUAGGAAUCUGCCUAUUAGUGGGGGACAACAUCUCGAAAGGGAUGCUAAUACCGCAUACGUCCUACGGGAGAAAGCAGGGGAUCACUUGUGACCUUGCGCUAAUAGAUGAGCCUAAGUCGGAUUAGCUAGUUGGUGGGGUAAAGGCCUACCAAGGCGACGAUCUGUAGCGGGUCUGAGAGGAUGAUGCGCCACACUGGGACUGAGAAACGGCCCAGACUCCGACGGGAGGCAGCAGUGGGGAAUAUUGGACAAAGGGGGGAACCCUGAUCCAGCCAUGCCGCGUGUGUGAAGAAGGCCUUAUGGUUGUAAAGCACUUUAAGCGAGGAGGAGGCUCUUUUGGUUAAUACCCAAGAUGAGUGGACGUUACUCGCAGAAUAAGCACCGGCUAACUCUGUGCCAGCCGCCGCCGUAA
rnacentral:rRNA from 1 species